CCUACGGGAGGCUGCAGUGGGGGAUAUUGCACAAUGGGGGAAACCCUGAUGCAGCGACGCCGCGUGUGGGAAGACGGUCCUCUGGAUUGUAAACCACUGUCCCCAGGGACGAAGAUGACGGUACCUGACUAAGAAGCCCCGGCUAACUACGUGCCAGCAGCCGCGGUAAUACGUAGGGGGCAAGCGUUAUCCGGAUUUACUGGGUGUAAAGGGAGCGUAGACGGCGCUGCAAGUCCGGAGUGAAAGUCCAUGGCUUAAUCAUGGUACUGCUCUGGAAACUGUGGAGCUUGAGUGCGGGAGGGGCAGGCGGAAUUCCUAGUGUAGCGGUGAAAUGCGUAGAUAUUAGGAGGAACACCGGCGGCGAAGGCGGCCUGCUGGACCGUAACUGACGUUGAGGCUCGAAAGCGUGGGGAGCAAACAGGAUUAGAUACCCCGGUAGUC
rnacentral:rRNA from 1 species